CCAGCGCUUUUCUUGACCUCCGUGGAAUAAGCAGGUAUCCCAACAUACCUGAGGAAGCCUCUGGUAAUCAAGCUGGUCUCCUUCCCCGGUUUGCUCUCGCGUUCCCCGAACCCCGAGCAAGCAGGUCUCCUUCCCCGGCUUGCUCUCGCGUUCCCCGAACCCCGAGCAAGCAGGUCUCCUUCCCUGAGGUUUGCUGGGUGGUUCCGGGAACGCGAGAGCAAACCGCGACGAAGCUGGUCUCCUUCCCCGGUUUGCUCUCGUGUUCCCCGAACAAGCAGGUCUCCUUCCCUACGGUUUGCAGGGUGGUUCGCGGAACGCGAGAGCAAACCGCGGCGAAGCUGGUCUCCUUCCCCGGUUUGCUCUCGCGUUCCCGGAACCCCCGAGCAAGCAGGUCUCCUUCCCUGCGGUUUGCUGGGGGGUUCGGGGAACGCGAGAGCAAACCGCGGCGAAGCUGGUCUCCUUUCCCGGUUUGCUCUCGCGUUCCCCGAACCCCCCUUGAAGCCGCCCAACAGCGCUGCAGUGUGGCCACAUCUAACACCACUUGCAGCGCUGGUUGCUGUAAGUGUGGCCACUCUGCAGCGCUGGCCC